UUCAGCUCCACCUGGCUAACGUAAUGAACUCCAUGGUCGGCAUGUUUUUUUCCCCAGAAAAAAACACAUAUUGACUCUUUUGGUAGGGGAGAAGAAAAAAGAAGAAGAUGAUGAUGAUGAUGGCGUGAAAGUGCUCGUUAAACGCUGGCUGUAAGUGGUCGAAUGCUCAGGUGAUGGGCUUAGACACUCGAAUGAAAGGCAAUAAAUUCCGCCCCGUGGGAUGGUAUCGGAGGAACCCCCCUUUGAAAGCCCUAGAGUUCCCCCACGGGCUGUUUUCUACCUGGGUUUUUGCCCCUCUCGAUGUCCCUGAUCUAUCGGAAUAAUUGUUGAUGGAUUUUCGGCGAAUGAAGAAAAAAAAAACAGGUUUUGGCUUCCAUCAUCUCUUAACGCCUUGUAGAUUUAUUUUUUUUUUUUUGUUAUUUUUACCGUAAACCAGAGACCUGCCGGAAGACAAGUGGGCCCGCGUGGAGUGAAAAGUAGACCACAAACAGGUAGAUGAACAAAAUUGGAUGAAGGAGAGGAAAGAAAAAAAGCGCAUAAAAAGAAGUAAAAGAAGGAGGUGGUGUUGGCGAGAAGAAUUAGUUGACCGAUGGACUGGAGACAAUGCCCUGUGACACGUUGCCCGGAGCGCAGCCGGGGUGUCCGAAUCAACAUAGAGAGCUGAGCGCCAUUUUGUUUUGGCCACUGACCUUUUUAUCAUCCGGCUACGAUGGUGGCUGCUGCCGCCCGCUGCUGGUAAUGCUGGUGGCGAAUGGUAUUUAUUUUCCCUUUUUUUUUCUCUUCUUUUUAUUUGUUAAGAGAAGAAAAAAAAAAGGGAAACGAAAAGGUGAUGGGCCAAGCUCUUCUCCUUUCAACUCCUUUUUUUUUUCUUUCGUUCUUUAUUUUCGUUUUCAAUGCCAAGGGCCGAACAGUCAGGGCGGUUAAUCUCUAUGAACGAUCUUGGGACGAUCUGGCAGCGGGAGUACCAGUAAUAUAACAAGACGACGAAGCCAUGAAGUUAUGUUGCGAGCGGAUCACAGUCCGCCAACCGCUCCCGGAUCGGAUUGUUAUUCUACACUAACCGAUUGCCCGGGCGCCAGUAGGACCCUCGGCUUUUGCUUCGCUUAAAUGAAAGGUGAUUCGCAGCAGUUUCAAAUGACCGCCCAGUUAGGGAGAGGUAAGACCCUACCUCUUCUCCUUUUACCUUCCUUUCUUUCCACCCCCGAUCUCCCGUGUUUCCUUCUUUUUUAUUAUUCCCCCCUCUCUGGCCGUUGUUUUUGUUGUCGAUCGGCUGGAAUGGCGGGAAAAAACGGACGCACACACACACAGGGCUAUUCGUUUGAUAACUUUGGCCUUAACACACACACACACACACACACACUGGGUAGAAUAAUCCGCGGUUUUUUACGGCAAAAACAAUUCUCCCGAUGUUCAGCCACUGCAAACUUCUUCUUUUCUUUUUUAUCUGGUUGAACUUUAGCUGGCCAGCAGCCGUUGCCGCCUUCGUGUCCUUCAAGUGAAAGUGUGUCGCUGAAUCUCCAAAAA